rnacentral:tRNA from 1 species
GGCGAGAUAGCUCAGCUGGCUAGAGCACACGGUUCAUACCCGUGGUGUCGGGGGUUCAAGUCCCUUUCUCGCUA